rnacentral:rRNA from 1 species
UCAAAACUUUCAACAACGGAUCUCUUGGUUCUGGCAUCGAUGAAGAACGCAGCGAAAUGCGAUACGUAAUGUGAAUUGCAGAAUUCCGUGAAUCAUCGAAUCUUUGAACGCACAUUGCGCCCGCCAGCAUUCUGGCGGGCAUGCCUGUUCGAGCGUCA